AGUGAACGCUGGCGGUAGGCCUAACACAUGCAAGUCGAACGGCAGCACAGUAAGAGCUUGCUCUUACGGGUGGCGAGUGGCGGACGGGUGAGGAAUACAUCGGAAUCUACUUUUUCGUGGGGGAUAACGUAGGGAAGCUUACGCUAAUACCGCAUACGACCUACGGGUGAAAGCAGGGGAUCUUCGGACCUUGCGCGAUUGAAUGAGCCGAUGUCGGAUUAGCUAGUUGGCGGGGUAAUGGCCCACCAAGGCGACGAUCCGUAGCUGGUCUGAGAGGAUGAUCGGCCACACUGGAACUGAGACACGGACCAGACUCCUACGGGAGGCAGCAGUGGGGAAUAUUGGACAAUGGGCGCAAGCCUGAUCCAGCCAUACCGCGUGGGUGAAGAAGGCCUUCGGGUUGUAAAGCCCUUUUGUUGGGAAAGAAAAGCAGCAGGUUAAUACCCCGCUGUUCUGACGGUACCCAAAGAAUAAGCACCGGCUAACUUCGUG
rnacentral:rRNA from 1 species